rnacentral:rRNA from 1 species
GAUGAACGCUGGCGGCGUGCCUAAUACAUGCAAGUCGAGCGAACAGACGAGGAGCUUGCUCCUCUGACGUUAGCGGCGGACGGGUGAGUAACACGUGGAUAACCUACCUAUAAGACUGGGAUAACUUCGGGAAACCGGAGCUAAUACCGGAUAAUAUAUUGAACCGCAUGGUUCAAUAGUGAAAGACGGUUUUGCUGUCACUUAUAGAUGGAUCCGCGCCGCAUUAGCUAGUUGGUAAGGUAGCGGCUUACCAAGGCGACGAUGCGUAGCCGACCUGAGAGGGUGAUCGGCCACACUGGAACUGAGACACGGUCCAGACUCCUACGGGAGGCAGCAGUAGGGAAUCUUCGGCAAUGGGCGAAAGCCUGACGGAGCAACGCCGCGUGAGUGAUGAAGGUCUUCGGAUCGUAAAACUCUGUUAUUAGGGAAGAACAAAUGUGUAAGUAACUAUGCACGUCUUGACGGUACCUAAUCAGAAAGCCACGGCUAACUACGUG